AGCGGUAAGAUUGAGUAGUAAUACUUGUACCUAGCAGCGGCGCACGCGUUGCGAUAACGCGCUAUGCAACCAUACUCUUUUACUGGGGGAUAGCCCGGUAGAAAUCUGGAUUAAUACCCCAUGGUAUCUACGAAUCGAAUGUUUUGCAGCUUAAAGAUUUAUCGGUAAAAGAUGGGCAUGCGUCUGAUUAGCUAGUUGGCGGGGUAACGGCCCACCGAGGCGACGAUCAGUAGGGGUUCUGAGAGGAAGGUCCCCCACACUGGCACUGAGAUACGGGCCAGACUCCUACUGGAGGCAGC
rnacentral:rRNA from 1 species